rnacentral:rRNA from 1 species
CCUACGGGAGGCAGCAGUGAGGAAUAUUGGUCAAUGGCCGGAAGGCUGAACCAGCCAAGCCGCGUGAAGGACGAAGGUGCCAAGCAUUGUAAACUUCUUUUGUCAAGGGACAAAAUCAGGCUCGAGAGCCUGACCGAGGGUACUUGAAGAAAAAGCAUCGGCUAACUGCGUGCCCGCAGCCGCGGUAAUACGUAGGAUGCGAGCGUUAUCCGGAUUUAUUGGGUUGAAAGGGUGCGUAGGCGGACUGUUAAGACAGCGGUAAAAGCCCGGGGCACAACCCCGGCGAGCCGUUGAAACUGGCUGUCUUGAGAUGUCGAGAGGUAUGCGGAAUGCGCAGUGUAGCGGUGAAAUGCUUAGAUAUUGCGCAGAACUCCGAUUGCGAAGGCAGCAUACCGGCGGCGAUCUGACGCUGAGGCACGAAAGCGUGGGUAUCGAACAGGAUUAGAUACCCGAGUAGUC